rnacentral:rRNA from 1 species
ACCCGCUGAACUUAAGCAUAUCAAUAAGCGGAGGAAAAGAAACCAACAGGGAUUGUCUUAGUAACGGCGAGUGAAGCGACAAAAGCUCAAAUUUGAAAUCUGGCACCUUCGGUGUCCGAGUUGUAAUUUGAAGAAGGUAACUUUGGAGUUGGCUCUUGUCUAUGUUCCUUGGAACAGGACGUCACAGAGGGUGAGAAUCCCGUGCGAUGAGAUGUCCAACUCUAUGUAAAGUGCUUUCGAAGAGUCGAGUUGUUUGGGAAUGCAGCUCUAAGUGGGUGGUAAAUUCCAUCUAAAGCUAAAUAUUGGCGAGAGACCGAUAGCGAACAAGUACAGUGAUGGAAAGAUGAAAAGAACUUUGAAAAGAGAGUGAAAAAGUACGUGAAAUUGUUGAAAGGGAAGGGUUUGAGAUCAGACUUGGUAUUUUGUAUGUCUUGCUUUCGGGUGGGGCCUCUGCAGUUUACUGGGCCAGCAUCGGUUUGGACGGUAGGAUAAUGACAUUGGAAUGUGGC